rnacentral:tRNA from 14 species
GGUCCUAUAGCUCAGCUGGUUAGAGCACUUGACUCAUAAUCAAGGGGUCCCUGGUUCGAGCCCAGGUGGGACCACCA